GGAAUUUUGGACAAUGGGCGCAAGCCUGAUCCAGCAAUGCCGCGUGAGUGAAGAAGGCCUUCGGGUUGUAAAGCUCUUUUGUCAGGGAAGAAACGGUGGACUCUAAUACAGAUCACUAAUGACGGUACCUGAAGAAUAAGCACCGGCUAACUACGUGCCAGCAGCCGCGGUAAUACGUAGGGUGCAAGCGUUAAUCGGAAUUACUGGGCGUAAAGCGUGCGCAGGCGGUUUGGUAAGACAGAUGUGAAAUCCCUGGGCUCAACCUAGGAAUUGCAUUUGUGACUGCCCGGCUAGAGUGUGUCAGAGGGGGGUAGAAUUCCACGUGUAGCAGUGAAAUGCGUAGAGAUGUGGAGGAAUACCGAUGGCGAAGGCAGCCCCCUGGGAUAACACUGACGCUCAUGCACGAAAGCGUGGGGAGCAAACAGGAUUAGAUACCCCAG
rnacentral:rRNA from 1 species